CUUACAUCAGAAGCGGGAUAGAAUUCAAGCCCAUACUUUUUAAAUGUGUUUUGAGUUUACGUAGUUUUGUAACGGCAUACUGGCGUUUGUGUUUUUUCGUGCGUUGUGUGAAGUAAAAGUUUGUUGCGUGGAUUAUUGUAACGGGAAUGUAGUUCAUCGAAGGAAUUGUGUGUGCUAUCCGGACUGCGCCCUGCGGUCCGGGGUAGUUGAGCCUUCAUUUGUGUUAAGCGAACGUCGUGCCUAUGUCACAAAUGAGUAGGCGUUGUUCCCAUGAUACGCGAACGUAGUGCCUAUGUCAUGUGGAUGUGAUUGUUGUUCUGUAAGGUCAGUGUGGCCGAGGCAGGAUGGUUGUGUAAUCCCGAGAUGAACUACCGUUGUACUGUAAUACGAGAAAAAGGCGUACGAGGACGUACGAUUGUCAGUAUGGCCGUGUUAGACGUAACUUUUGAUUUAAUAUUUUUGUGGAUGAAUAGUUGUCAACAUACUUCGUUGACUUGCUGCGUUUUGUUAUCAACUACCUACAUCAA